rnacentral:lncRNA from 1 species
GCUGCUGUACCCACCCCACCUCAGCUGCGGCUGCGUCACUGGGAGGAUGAAGGGAUCCCUGUGUACCGAGCGCACACACGGCCUUGUUUAUGAUUAGCCGACCCCGAGGGAACACAGGCUGCCCAGCCGGCAAGGCUCCUUGCGAUUCACGUUGUUGUGUUUUGCAGGAGGGCGGGGUGUGUGGUGAAGUUUUCUGGCGAGGGGAGUCGCGUUCGCAGCUGAGGAUGCCUCGCCUGCACGCGGCUGUGCUCUGUGUUUGGAGCUCUUUUUGUGAGUAGCAGACCGUGUUCGUCUUACCCUGAGAUCCACGGCAGGAGGAAAGCCAGAUACAGAGGGUCUGGAGAAGAUCUGGAAAAGAAAGGCAGCUGCUUGUUUCCAGCAUUACUCAGCUCCCUGCCCUCCUGCGAAAGUUGAAUUCAACUGACUUCCUUUGUCUGCCUUCCCCACAGCACCCCUCCAAACAUAAACAAAACCCCUUAGAUCUCCGUCCCAGGAUAUAGGUACAUUUUAAAAAUUCUUAAAAAAAAAAAAAAGGUUAUUUCAUUGUAUUAGUAAAAGAAAAGCUGGAACAGUUAGAUCAGGGCUAAAAUUAAACAAGUCUUCAUGAAAGAAAAAAGAAGUUUUCUGUACGGAUUAAUUAGGACAUAGAUGAAGCAAUAUGUUACCAGGGAUGCAACUUCAGGUUGGGAAAAAUAUAUAGAAGGAAACCAGUAGUGGGAAAAGGGAUAGACCAUGAUGGAAGAUAAUAUAAGAAAAAGAAUAUACGUGUGUAUAUAUAUAUAUGUAUAUAUGACUGGGUCACUAUGCUGUACAGCAGAAAUUGACACAACAUUGUAAAUCAACUCUACUCUAGUAAAUAUAAAAUUUUAAAAAAAGAUUGGCAUCACAUCUCUGCCUUUCAAACCAAAGGUGUUCUCAUCUGGAGAUGGCAGGCCUUGGCCCAGGGACUUCUAAGUGCCUUAAUGAACCAAUCUAAAAGUCUAAGCUGCAAGGAUUUGUGGUGCUGUAACUUUAAAAGCCUCUCUGGGAAGGGAACUCUCUGGUAGUGCAGCGGGUUAAAGAUCCAGGGUUGUCACUGACGUGGCCAGGGUUUGAUCUGUGGCCCCUGGAGUCCCCCAUGUUGCAGAUGUGGCCCCCUCAGAAAGCCUCUCUGAGAUAUCUCAGCCU